AUUGAACGCUGGCGGCAGGCUUAACACAUGCAAGUCGAACGAGUGGCGGACGGGUGAGCAAUGUCUGGGAAACUGCCUGAUGGAGGGGGAUAACUACUGGAAACGGUAGCUAAUACCGCAUACCAUCAGAUGUGCCCAGAUGGGAUUAGCUUGUUGGUGGGGUAACGGCUCACCAAGGCGACGAUCCCUAGCUGGUCUGAGAGGAUGACCAGCCAAACUGGAACUGGGAAACGUGCCAAACUCCUACGGAAGGCGGCAGAGGGGAAUGUGGCACAAUGGGCGAAGGCCUAAUGCAGCCAUGCCGGGUGUAUGAAGAGGGCCUUCGGGUUGUAAAGUACUUUCAGCGGGGAGGCGUUACCCGCAGAAGAAGCACCGGCUAACUCCGUGCCAGCCGCCGCGGUAAUUC
rnacentral:rRNA from 1 species